rnacentral:rRNA from 1 species
AACGAACGCUGGCGGCAUGCCUAACACAUGCAAGUCGAACGAGACCUUCGGGUCGAGUGGCGCACGGGUGCGUAACGCGUGGGAACCUGCCCUUAGGUUCGGAAUAACUCCCCGAAAGGGGUGCUAAUACCGGAUAAUGUCUUCGGACCAAAGAUUUAUCGCCUUUGGAUGGGCCCGCGUUGGAUUAGCUAGUUGGUAGGGUAAAAGCCUACCAAGGCGACGAUCCAUAGCUGGUCUGAGAGGAUGAUCAGCCACACUGGGACUGAGACACGGCCCAGACUCCUACGGGAGGCAGCAGUGGGGAAUAUUGGACAAUGGGCGAAAGCCUGAUCCAGCAAUGCCGCGUGAGUGAUGAAGGCCUUAGGGUUGUAAAGCUCUUUUACCCGGGAUGAUAAUGACAGUACCGUGAGAAUAAGCUCCGGCUAACUCCGUG